AUAUACCACAUAAUUAUACACCAUGUGGUGGACUUAAGUAUCUUAGUGACUUCAUUUGAUGUGUGUAUUUGUGUUAAUUUUAAGCUUAUGUUGCUAUGAAAAUGUACCUCACUGACCGUCUGUCUAUUUAUUGUGUACUUCUUGCAUGAGGAGGUGACUAGUGAUGCGACGCGCCAAGCAGCAGUAGGGGAAGGGGGUCUCCUGGUUAAGGAGGCGGAGGAGUAGGGGCGUGCCCAGCCGGCAGCCCUGUCCUGCUCGUGGGGGAGGGGCAGGAGGGGUCUGCUCCUCUGCUUCCAUUGCGACCGCGGCAGGUAGCUCCUCCAUCUCCCUCCCCCUCUUCCCGUGCUCACUACUUCUGCUGCUAAGUUGAUGAAUAUGUGAUGCACUUGUCCCAAGGAAUGUUAGAGGGAUCUGUAUGAACAAGUCAUGUUUUUAUUUUAUUUUAUUUAGGUUGUUAGUUACCAAACAGAGAGGGAAGAUGAGCUCCUGCUUGGAUUUUUUUUCUGCCAGCACAUGAUUUGUAUGUAUGCAACCAUCAUCUGAUUUGAUGCUACCUUGUCGUUCAUGCUGUGUGCAUUGAUUCCCACAAACUAUAACCUGAUUUGAUGCUACCUUGUCUUUUUUUCAAUUGAUAUUUGUCUCAUCCAACACUCUGACUAUAAAUGUGUUGUUUUAAUCCUGAUGAUGAUGUAGUACUAUAAGGUGGACAUCAUAUUCCAAGUCAGAUUGUUUUUGGUUUGUACUUUGGACCAUGUGUGUUUCUCACAUGAACUAGUGUUGUUGUAACAUGAACUGUAGUAGGUCGUUGUUAUCUAAAUGUGAUCAUUGCAAGGAGGAACCAUUGUUUGGCUUCAUCCCUUCCUCAUUUGAUCAUUUUUAUGGCCCAUAUGCAUUCUACGUGUUGCCUAACUUGGCAUGACGUGCACGAAAACUGUUUGGGCAUCCAUACUCUAGCUCUUCUUAAUUUUCAUGCAUGUUUCUUUCCAGACUUGAUCUUACUACUAAAUAGCUCACCUGUUGUUUUCUGUUUUCUUGUUGGCAGAUAUUUUGAGUAAAUUCAAGACCAAAGAUGUUCAAAGAAGCUCCAAGACAUUCUUAUAUAGCAAGUUCUAUAAUAAUAGCUGCGUUAUCUGGGAAUUUAAUGUAUCUUCUCUUUGUUUGUGAAUGAAAUAGUAAUUAUGUAUGUGAUUUAAUGUAUCUUCUCUCUGUUUGUGAAUUUCAUGUAUGUUUCAGAAUUACAAUUUCUGUUUCAUAUGAAAUAGUAAUUAUGUAUGUGAUUUGAAAAUGUGUGCAAUGGAAACAUGACUCAUGCGACCCACUUAUCAAAAUAAUUU
rnacentral:lncRNA from 1 species